UUUUAAAUUUAUUCCAAAAAUAUAUUUGUCAGUUGAAACUCAAUAUUUCGAUAUUUCGAUAAAUUUCAAACAGGCACAAAAGUAUAACGGAAUUCCCCGCCCUGGCAAAACGAUGUAAACUUCAAUGUAACGUUAGCUUUAGCAACGCCCAAUGCAGCGCCCGCCCCAAGUACUCUACCCUAUACACUCAGUUGCAGUUGGGUUGACUUAAAAAAGCAAUUAAGAAAAUUGGAAAAUAGUUAAAGUUAAAGCAAGAAACAGAAACAAACAAAAUGCACAGACAGCUGCAAGAAAUUUUACAAGUGCAAAAAUUCCCAUUAAAAACUGAAAGACAAACAUAGAGAAGGAGCAAUAGUAGAAUGCGAAGAGACUGUGUAAUUUAGUUAAAUGUGCACCAGGAACAAGCAACACGAAAAAAGCAAGCAAAGAACUGAAUAAAAAACAAAAUGUUAUGAAAUAUGUUUUAAAGACAAGAAUGGUUAAAGGAAUAUUUACGGGCUCGGAGACGGCAACAAAUCGUGAACGAAUUUUAUGAGCGGCUUUUCCCAUUAAAUUGUG